rnacentral:rRNA from 1 species
GACGAACGCUGGCGGCGUGCCUAAUACAUGCAAGUAGAACGCUGAAGGAGGAGCUUGCUUCUCUGGAUGAGUUGCGAACGGGUGAGUAACGCGUAGGUAACCUGCCUGGUAGCGGGGGAUAACUAUUGGAAACGAUAGCUAAUACCGCAUAAGAGUAGAUGUUGCAUGACAUUUGCUUAAAAGGUGCAAUUGCAUCACUACCAGAUGGACCUGCGUUGUAUUAGCUAGUUGGUGGGGUAACGGCUCACCAAGGCGACGAUACAUAGCCGACCUGAGAGGGUGAUCGGCCACACUGGGACUGAGACACGGCCCAGACUCCUACGGGAGGCAGCAGUAGGGAAUCUUCGGCAAUGGACGGAAGUCUGACCGAGCAACGCCGCGUGAGUGAAGAAGGUUGUCGGAUCGUAAAGCUCUGUUGUAAGAGAAGAACGAGUGUGAGAGUGGAAAGUUCACACUGUGACGGUAUCUUACCAGAAAGGGACGGCUAACUACGUG